AUGAAGAACAUCUAUUCUCCUUUAAACUGUAUUCUAAAGUUACUCUUGUACUGCAUCUAAAAUACAUCAUGAAUAAAUCCAUUUCAAGUUUGAGACAAUCCUAUUUAUCAGAGUAAGAAUACUCAGGGAGAGGGUGGAGCUUUCUCUAAAAGGGUAUAAAUGUACAGUACAAGGGACUGAUUUAGAGUCAUCCUACUUUGACUUUGUCAUCACUCCUCUGAAGAUCAUCCAUCAUGUUUCUCUUUUGUUGGAUGUCAUUUUCAUUAUUUAUUGGUAAGAGAUGUUCCAAUAUUCAGGGUAUCAUCAUGAUCAAAGAUAAACAAUUAAAGCCAGAGAAUGUGACACAUGGACAAAGUUAAUUUUGAUGAGUAAAUCUGUCUUCUGCUUAAUAAAUAAAAGAUGCAUUUCUUUUUUUACAGGGGAUUCCUUUGCAAACACAAUAAUACCAUUAUCCUCUGAAAUAUGAUGAAUUAAUCACUCUGUAAUAAAUAUUGCAUAAUAUAGAUUUAAAUGAUUAAUUCCACAAUUGCCAAGUUAUUACAUAGUAACAGCACUAUGUAGAACAGUUAGAGGUUACUUAGUAUAGAACAGUGAAAACAGCUUGCAAAAUAGAGCUUUUCUCUUCUCUCACCCUCAACCCUACACAGCUUAAAUAUUUAAAUUACCACAGGGUGGCGUUCCAUACUUAAAUCAUAGUGUUUCACCAGGGGCAAGGCAUAUAUUGGUCUGUGCCAUUUCAUUCCAUCAUAUUGUUGUGCACUUAUAAUAUUUUCAAUGCUUGCGGGUGGGAUUUAUUAACUCAUUUUAUUCAUCAUCAACUCUUCUCAUUAAUAUUAAAAGAAUAUCAGAAAUCCACCUAACUAAUCACAGUAAUUAAUUCACAUUAUUAUAAUUUUUGGGGGGGAAUGUAAUAACAUCUCAUAGAUCUGAGAAAACUUCAAAGCAAGAGGUAACAGUGAUACUUAAUGCAUAUAAAUACAGUUUAUACAUUAUAUAGGAUAAAGUUAAAGUUAACGUUCAAGUUUGAGUUUUUGCAAAGUCAGAUAUAAUUUCAUGUUGGCACAAUUAGUUUAUCUGCCAUGUUCCAAAAAAGUGAGCAUGAAAACAGACUGAUUGGGUGAACUUAAUUGGAUAUACAAAUAAAGAAGAGCUCAAAGUGGGAAUACUGACUACUAUAAUGCUCAUAGGCCUACUGCUCUGUUUUUACAAAAGAAUUGAGAGUGUGUUAAGUCAUAGACACAUGAAAUAUAAUAAAACAUCUUACUUCUUAUAUUUCUUUUCUCCCAAACAAUAAACAACAUAUCUAUGCUUUCAUACAGCCUCAUUAGGUGCUCAGAACAAAUAGAGAAUAAGCAGUCAUUUACAGGGUGGAGCUUUCUGAGGAAAAGUGAAACAGAAAAGCAGGAGGCUCUUACUGUAGGUCUGCUGUUGCUCUUUAAAUAUUCAGUCAUAAUGAUGUUUCUUUACUUUACAUUUAUGACAGUUUUUACAGAGAAUGUUCAUGCAAAUGCAAUUACACCCCUCUCUACUAAAAAGGAUGCUUUAGAAGGAGAAAAGGUUACUAUUUACUGUAACUACAGUGGAAGUAGUAUUGACAGUUUUCAGUGGUACAGACAGUAUGCCAACACUGCCCCAGAAUUUCUCCUAAUGUCUUUUGAGAAUGCGGAUCCAGCACAGAAGGACCGACUUGCUGCUAAAGCUCAUAAGGACAAGAAACAACUUGACCUGGAGAUCUCCAAAACUGAAGUGGCAGACGCUGCAAUAUACUACUGCGCCCUGGUGCCCACAGUAAGAGGAAACCCUUCUACACUGUACAAAAACCUGUGA